rnacentral:rRNA from 9 species
AAGGCUUGCGGUGGAUACCUAGGCACCCAGAGACGAGGAAGGGCGUAGCAAGCGACGAAAUGCUUCGGGGAGUUGAAAAUAAGCAUAGAUCCGGAGAUUCCCAAAUAGGUCAACCUUUUAAACUGCCUGUUGAAUCCAUGAGCAGGCAAGAGACA